rnacentral:rRNA from 1 species
GGCAUGGGGUUUCUAUACAUGCAAAUCGAGCGCACUGCAAGGCCAGCUUGCUCCCGGAUGUUAGCGGCGGACGGGUGAGUACACGUGGGUAACCUGCCUGUAAGACUGGGAUAACUCCGGGAAACCGGAGCUAAUACCGGAUAGUUCCUUGAGCCGCAUGGUUCAAGGAUGAAAGACGGUUUCGGCUGUCACUUACAGAUGGACCCGCGGCGCAUUAGCUAGUUGGUGGGGUAAUGGCUCACCAAGGCGACGAUGCGUAACCGACCUGAGAGGGUGAUCAGCCACACUGGGACUGAGACACGGCCCAGACUCCUACGGGAGGCAGCAGUAGGGAAUCUUCCGCAAUGGACGAAAGUCUGACGGAGCAACGCCGCGUGAGUGAUGAAGGUUUUCGGAUCGUAAAGCUCUGUUGUUAGGGAAGAACAAGUGCGAGAGUAACUGCUCGCACCUUGACGGUACCUAACCAGAAAGCCACGGCUAACUACGUGCCAGCAGCCGCGGUAAUACGUAGGUGGCAAGCGUUGUCCGGAAUUAUUGGGCGUAAAGGGCUCGCAGGCGGUUUCUUAAGUCUGAUGUGAAAGCCCCCGGCUCAACCGGGGAGGGUCAUUGGAAACUGGGAAACUUGAGUGCAGAAGAGGAGAGUGGAAUUCCACGUGUAGCGGUGAAAUGCGUAGAGAUGUGGAGGAACACCAGUGGCGAAGGCGACUCUCUGGUCUGUAACUGACGCUGAGGAGCGAAAGCGUGGGGAGCGAACAGGAUUAGAUACCCUGGUAGUCCACGCCGUAAACGAUGAGUGCUAAGUGUUAGGGGGUUUCCGCCCCUUAGUGCUGCAGCUAACGCAUUAAGCACUCCGCCUGGGGAGUACGGUCGCAAGACUGAAACUCAAAGGAAUUGACGGGGGCCCGCCCAAGCGUUGGA